CGUAGGUACAAAGGAAUAAGUAAAAAAUACUUUGUAUACACGCUUGUAAACAACGCUAUCAAACGUACAUUUUCCUAUUAAGGCAAAAUAGAGCAAGGUCUUGCACUUAAAUUAUUAUCCUUUGAAUCUAUUUGUGCUGACAACUAAACGUAAAAAAUGGACACUGUUCCCAACUAGUUCUUAGAAGUGUUUUCCAAUAGAUAUCUUAUGUUGCGAUUAAUACAAAAUUUAAAAAAAGUUAAAAAUAUAAUAUAAUACGUAUUCACGUGAAUAGCUUCGCAAAUAGACAUUCAACUAUUAACUGCAGACUACCAUACGUAGGUCAUUCUCAUCACCGUAGCUACUUUGAUCGUAGCACAGAUUGGCAGUGCGAGCUGCGGCCGUCUUCGCAGAGACGAAGAGUCAAAAGGGGAUAAUGCUGGACAGUCAACCAACGCGGUCGCUGGAUCCGAUUCUUUCAUGAGCAACAUCGGCCAAAUCUUUGGAACCAUGCCUACCAAUCCCACAGAAUUUAUGUCGGCAUUUUCUAAUUUGUUUAAAAAUGUACCCCAGCAAUUGAAUAUGUCUUAAAUCGAUAUUGACAUACC